rnacentral:rRNA from 1 species
GGGGGGGGGGGGGGGGGGCGGGGUGGGUGGGGGGCUGGGGGGCGGACGGGGGUGUGGCUUUGCGGGUGUUAGCGGCGGCCGGGUGGGUGACCCGUGGCGAGCCUACCUCUAAGACUUGGGUGACUUCGGGACACCGGAGCUGAUACCGGCUCAUAUUUUGAGCCUCCUGAUUCCAGCGUGGACGACGGUCUUGCUAUCACUUCUCUAUCGCACCGCGCUGCCUUAGAUAGUUGGUACGGUAACGUCUUCCCAAGGCAACUAUGCAUCGCCGACCUUAGAGGGUGAUCGGCCAAACUGGAACUGAGACACGGUCCAGACUCCUACGGGAGGCAGCAGUAGGGAAUCUUCCGCAAUGGGCGAAAGCCUGACGGAGCAACGCCGCGUGAGUGAUGAAGGUCUUCGGAUCGUAAAACUCUGUUAUUAGGGAAGAACAUAUGUGUAAGUAACUGUGCACAUCUUGACGGUACCUAAUCAGAAAGCCACGGCUAACUACGUG